rnacentral:piRNA from 1 species
UGAGAGGUGCAAAGCCAUGGCAGGCC